rnacentral:rRNA from 1 species
UCAGGAUGAACGCUAGCGACAGGCUUAACACAUGCAAGUCGAGGGGCAGCGGGGGAGUGGCAACACUUCCGCCGGCGACCGGCGCACGGGUGAGUAACACGUAUGAAACCUGCCCGCAGCAGGGGGAUAAGCGGAAGAAAUUCCGUCUAAUACCGCGUAACAACCGACGGGGGCAUCCCUGUUGGUUCAAAGGAGCGAUCCGGCUGCGGAUGGUCAUGCGGCGCAUUAGCUAGUUGGCGGGGCAACGGCCCACCAAGGCGACGAUGCGUAGGGGUUCUGAGAGGAAGGUCCCCCACACUGGUACUGAGACACGGACCAGACUCCUACGGGAGGCAGCAGUGAGGAAUAUUGGUCAAUGGCCGAGAGGCUGAACCAGCCAAGUCGCGUGAGGGAUGACGGCCCUACGGGUUGUAAACCUCUUUUGCCGGGGAGCAAAGAGCGGGACGCGUCCCGCCUCGAGAGUACCCGGAGAAAAAGCAUCGGCUAACUCCGUGCCAGCAGCCGCGGUAAUACGGAGGAUGCGAGCGUUAUCCGGAUUUAUUGGGUUUAAAGGGUGCGCAGGCGGAAGCGCAAGUCAGCGGUAAAAUUGAGAGGCUCAACCUCUUCCCGCCGUUGAAACUGCGUUUCUUGAGUGGGCGAGAAGUACGCGGAAUGCGUGGUGUAGCGGUGAAAUGCAUAGAUAUCACGCAGAACUCCGAUUGCGAAGGCAGCGUACCGGCGCCCAACUGACGCUCAUGCACGAAAGCGUGGGUAUCGAACAGGAUUAGAUACCCUGGUAGUCCACGCAGUAAACGAUGAA